UGUUACUUACCUGAGUUUCUUUAAAUAGCUUCUGCUAUGUACGUACUUCUCUCUUAUGCAUAAAGCUGGUUAUGCUUCGUGGACUGAACUCUUAGUGCGAUAGAGCCCUGGCGCUGCGCUCUUGAGCUACUGGUGGCUGCUUUGAUCAGCUGCCCCGCUCCCGAAAGGGCUGCUCGGUUUGGCUGAGUGACCGGAGAUAUUUCUGAACUCACCUCCCCGGCCUUUCUGCAACCUGCUCGUCUGCUGGCGGCGGCCGAAGCUGAGCAAUCGGUCAGUCGCACCUGGAAUCAGAACCGUACGCCUCAAAACCACAGCCCAGUCAUCACCGUACACCGGAGGGAAUUACUGGCAGCAUUUCAGUGCGUUACUAUGCCAAAAAGGUGCCUUUGGAAGACAGAAAUAAAUUGGAAGCGUGGGGAUUCAUUGUGAUAUGCCUGCCACAGAGGUGCAAUGUAUAUUCCGGCUCAGAGGAAUUCAGCCUCUUGGAUCCAGCCGUGGGAAGCGGAGGCGUGCGCUGGAGGUGGGAGGAUGCUCCGGGGGACCAAGAGAGCAUCCUGCCGGGGGGCGAGCCGGGCCAGCGGACCCUCGCGCCGGGGCGGGUAACACCUACAGCCCGCCGCGUGCAGGGCGUUGCUUUCCCAGGUAGUCAGCAGGAGAGGGGUAGCAUAAAUUACGUCUGCUAACUCAUAUGAAAAAUGAAGCUCUGUUUAGAAAAUAGAGGCUAUGCCAGUUGCGUGUGUGCGUUACUGCUUGGGUAUGUGUUAGUUUCUGGUUGAUGUAGCUUAUAAAACUGCCCCGUCUCGUCACCGUAGCACCACUAACGCAAAUCACAGUAUUUGGGCUGUUACGGUGAGGUGGGUGAGGGACCAGAUACUGUCGCACAUUUGACAGUGAGCGAUCCCUCCUUGGGAGAGACAUCUCUACGUACAGGCUGUCCGCGCAGGGUCAGCUCUAUGAGAGAGGGAGCGCCAUAUGAGUGCAAACUCAUACUCUGUACAAGCGUUUGUAAGGAUAUAAGUAUUAUCCCUAUAAACUAAAAUGCUCGUAUUCAGAAUGGUUGCUGGGUAAUGUAUUUUAAAUCUCA